rnacentral:rRNA from 1 species
CCUACGGGAGGCAGCAGUGGGGGAUAUUGCACAAUGGGGGGAACCCUGAUGCAGCGACGCCGCGUGGGUGAAGAAGCGCCUCGGCGCGUAAAGCCCUGUCAGCAGGGAAGAAAAUGACGGUACCUGUAGAAGAAGCCCCGGCUAACUACGUGCCAGCAGCCGCGGUAAUACGUAGGGGGCAAGCGUUAUCCGGAUUUACUGGGUGUAAAGGGGGCGCAGUCGGGGAUGCAAGCCAGGAGUGAAAGCCGGGGGCCCAACCCCGGGACUGCUGUUGGAACUGCGUGGCUGGAGUGCAGGAGGGGCAGGCGGAAUUCGUGGUGUAGCGGUGAAAUGCGUAGAUAUCAGGAGGAACACCGAUGGCGAAGGCAGCCUGCUGGACUGCAACUGACGUUGAGGCCCGAAAGCGUGGGGAGCAAACAGGAUUAGAUACCCCUGUAGUC